GGGGGUGAAACAGAUUCGACGUUGGAGGCUGACUCUGUGUGGCAGGUCGUGGCGCCUCACCACGUAAAAAGGGGCAAGGCAUUAACUGCCAACAACAACCAACCUGCUCUGGCUUACGCCGCUUAAGGCUGUUUAGUCAGGGUGCUGGGUCACAGUAACCCAGCCGUUCGCCCUGAUCGGCUCCACCCGGUCAGUCGGCGGGCGUCAUAAAUGGUGGAGUGCGGUCGCUGUCACACCGAUAACCGGCGACCAAAGAUCCAUCGGUUAGCAGAGCGCGUACCAGGCUGUCUGGGGCUACGUUCUGCGAAACGCAACAGGCAGCUAAACCUGUAGAAGCACGGUUUCGAGUUCAGCGGACCAGGGUGCAACUCCCUGCACCUCCACAA
rnacentral:tmRNA from 1 species